rnacentral:misc_RNA from 2 species
AACGCACAUUGCACUCCUUGGUAUUCCGAGGAGUAUGCCUGUUUCAGUAUCAUGAGCACUCUCAUACAAAAACUUUAUUGUUAUUGUGUGGAAUUGGGAUGCGCCGAAGUUAAACUCGGCCCUCCUAAAAUGUAGUUCUUGGCUGUUUCCUACUACAGCAGUUUGGCUUAAUAGUUUUGACAACUCGUUGUCAGAUCUUUGGCUACAUUUGCUUCAGGAUAUCAGUCUUGAUAUACAGAAAACUCAUUCAAAUUUUGAUCUGAAAUCAGGUAGGACUACCCGCUGAACUUAA